GUGACAUUUCGCAACUCUUGACCUAAAGAGGGAGACCCCAAGCUCACAACCAGGAUUUGCUCUGUGCUCUUCCUGGCCCCGAACUGGGGUAAAUUAAAGUCUGUUAAAAACUCACAUCCCAGGAUGGUUUGCUGGUUUGUGUAUCCUGUCACAGACAACACAAUUUUAAAUAUAUUUGUUGUGAAGUUUUUGUGUUCCCAACAUGUUUCAUACUAUUCUUGUUUAUUGCAGCUCUUGAUACUGGGUAGAGCAGUGCUGGUGAACCUGUGAAGUCUUCUUGGAAAUCUGUUACAGGACAUUUUUGGCUGGACUAUGAAAUACUACUCGGAGAAACUGGUUUGGGUCAAAUUCGGAGUUCAGGAAAUUUUGCAGUUCAUGUCAGUUAUGUUAUUGGCAUUUAAACAAAAUUUUUAAUCAGUCUACUAGACUUUUCACUCAUUUGAUGGUUUGCCUAAUUGUUAGUCUGGGGAUGUGUAGUAAGAAAGUUUCAUUGAAUUACACUGGCGGUCAAAACUACAGUGUGGUGUGGUGAGUGCUGUUCCAGUGCUGUUUAAGACAGUGUCACAGGCAAGAUGUGUAAUAUGCUGUGUGGGAAGGCAAACUAAUACACUUUAAGAAGAAACCCAUAUCCUGAAACACAUGGCCUUUGUGCUGGACAGUAAGUGUCUGGGAACAAUCUUUUGGCAGUUUGUUCAGAUCUUUUUUGGUGUCCGAAUGUGGGAGGCAUGCAACCCUUUCAGAAAUCUGUGUACUGUGGUCUGAGCCUAAUAA